UAUCCGACAUGAUCUUCUCAGAAUGGUAGCUCAGAAGAGAAGAAUCGGAACCAUGUUCAGCAAAUUAAAAGUCAAGAUACUUUGCACCCACAAACAGCAUCAGAAGUAAAAUAGAGUGCUUAAAGAAGACAGAGUUGACAAGAUAAUGACAACAUGAUGGCUGUCAAGUUGCACAAGAACGCAAUCAUCGUGUUAUAGAAGAAUUACCUGUACCAAGGAAGCUGAGCCAACUGAUUAUAUUAUGAAAUAAACCG